rnacentral:piRNA from 1 species
UGCUGACCAUGGCGAUGUGAAUUGUC